AGCAGCCGCGGUAAUUCCAGCUCCAAUAGCGUAUAUUAAAGUUGUUGCAGUUAAAAAGCUCGUAGUUGAAUUUCGGGGUCAGUAGUCUGGUCGUGCCACUGGUAUGCACUGGUCUUACUGAUUCCUCCUUCCUGAUGAACCGUAAUGCCAUUAAUUUGGUGUUGCGGGGAAUCUGGACUGUUACUUUGAAAAAUUAGAGUGUUUAAAGCAGGCUAACGCCUGAAUACAUUAGCAUGGAAUAAUGAAAUAGGACGAUCGAUCCUAUUUUGUUGGUUUCUAGGAUUGACGUAAUGAUUAAUAGGGAUAGUUGGGGGCAUUAGUAUUCAAUUGUCAGAGGUGAAAUUCUUGGAUUUAUUGAAGACUAACUACUGCGAAAGCAUUUGCCAAGGAUGUUUUCAUUAAUCAAGAACGAAAGUUAGGGGAUCGAAGACGAUCAGAUACCGUCGUAGUCUUAACCAUAAACUAUGCCGACUAGGGAUCGGAUGAUGUUAAUUUUUAAUGACUCAUUC
rnacentral:rRNA from 1 species